rnacentral:rRNA from 1 species
AUUGAACGCUGGCGGCAGGCCUAACACAUGCAAGUCGAACGAGUGGCGGACGGGUGAGUAAUGUCUGGGAAACUGCCUGAUGGCGGGGGAUAACUACUGGAAACGGUAGCUAAUACCGCAUACCAUCGGAUGUGCCCAGAUGGGAUUAGCUAGUAGGGGGGGUAAAGGCUCACCUAGGCGACGAUCCCUAGCUGGUCUGAGAGGAUGAUCAGUCACACUGGAACUGAGACACGGUCCAGACGCCUACGGGAGGCAGCAGUGGGGAAUAUUUGACAAUGGGCGAAAGCCUGAUCCAGCCAUGCCGCGUGUGUGAAGAAGGUCUUCGGAUUGUAAAGCACUUUCAGCGGGGAGGCGUUACCCGCAGAAGAAGCACCGGCUAACUCCGUGCCAGCAGCCGCGGUAAUAC